rnacentral:rRNA from 1 species
UACGUAUGGUGCAAGCGUUAUCCGGAUUUACUGGGUGUAAAGGGAGCGCAGGCGGCACGGCAAGCCUGAUGUGAAAGCCCGCGGCCCAACCGCGGGACUGCAUUGGGAACUACCGGGCUGGAGUGCCGGAGAGGUAGGCGGAAUUCCUAGUGUAGCGGUGAAAUGCGUAGAUAUUAGGAGGAACACUAGUGGCGAAGGCGGCCUACUGGACGGUGACUGACGCUGAGGCUCGAAAGCGUGGGGAGCAAACAGG